CGGGGUGGAGUAAUGUCUGGGAAACGUCUCGAUGGAGGGGGAUAACUGCUGGAAACGGUAGCUAAUACCGCAUAACGUCGCAAGACCAAAGAGGGGGACCUUCGGGCCUCUUGCCAUCGGAUGUGCCCAGAUGGGAUUAGCUAGUAGGUGGGGUAACGGCUCACCUAGGCGACGAUCCCUAGCUGGUCUGAGAGGAUGGCCAGCCACACUGGAACUGAGACACGGUCCAG
rnacentral:rRNA from 1 species